UCCAGGGUAGCCUAGUGGACAUGGCAUCUGCCCGGUAAGCAGAACACUGUGGGUUCGAUUCCCAUCCCUGGAC